rnacentral:rRNA from 1 species
GGCGCACGGGUGAGUAACGCGUAUGUAACCUGCCCGCAACAGGGGGAUAACCCGGCGAAAGUCGGACUAAUACCGCAUAAAACAGGGGUCCCGCAUGGGAAUAUUUGUUAAAGAUUUAUCGGUUGCGGAUGGGCAUGCGUACCAUUAGGUAGUUGGUGAGGUAACGGCUCACCAAGCCUUCGAUGGUUAGGGGUUCUGAGAGGAAGGUCCCCCACACUGGUACUGAGACACGGACCAGACUCCUACGGGAGGCAGCAGUGAGGAAUAUUGGUCAAUGGGCGAGAGCCUGAACCAGCCAAGUCGCGUGAAGGAUGACUGCCCUAUGGGUUGUAAACUUCUUUUACAAGGGAAUAAAAUGAGAUACGUGUAUUUUAUUGCAUGUACCUUGGGAAUAAGCAUCGGCUAACUCCGUGCCAGCAGCCGCGGUAAUACGGAGGAUGCGAGCGUUAUCCGGAUUUAUUGGGUUUAAAGGGUGCGUAGGUGGGCUGUUAAGUCAGCGGUGAAAGUUUGUCGCUUAACGAUAAAAUUGCCGUUGAAACUGGUAGUCUUGAGUAUAGAUGAAGUACGCGGAAUGCGUGGUGU